rnacentral:rRNA from 1 species
AACAAGAACCCACCAUUGGCAAUCAACAGAUUUAAAUAAAAGUGGCAACUUCCCCCAGAAAACCCCACCCUACUCAACUGUUAACCUAAUACCAGAACAUUUCAAGAAAGAUUAAAAGAAAGAGAAGGAACUCGGCAAACAUUAGCCCCGCCUGUUUACCAAAAACACCGCCUCUUGUCCCCCUAUAAGAGGUCUAGCCUGCCCAGUGACUUCUGUUCAACGGCCGCGGUAUCCUAACCGUGCAAAGGUAGCGUAAUCACUUGUCUCCUAAAUAGAGACUAGUAUGAAUGGCAUCACGAGGACUAAGCUGUCUCCUCCCCCUAAUCAGUGAACCUAAUAACCCCGUGAAGAAGCGGGGAUUUUUAUAUAAGACGAGAAGACCCUGUGGAGCUUAAAUCACUAUAACACCUGCCACCUCACCCCAUCUACCCAGGUUUUUCCCCCCGUGGCACUAUGAUUAUAUGUUUUUGGUUGGGGUGACCGCGGAGAAAAACCUAUCCUCCACAAUGAAAGGGACUUCCCUAAACAGUAAGCUACAACUUUAUGUAUCAGCAAACUGACAUCCAUUGACCCAAUAUACUUGAUUAA